CCCUGCCAUUUGUACACACCGCCCGUCGCACCUACCGAUUGAAUGGUCCGGUGAGGCCUCGGGAUUGUGACCAGUUCACUUCAUUGUGAGUUGGUUGCGAGAACUUGUCCAAACCUUAUCAUUUAGAGGAACAUGUCGUAACAAGGUUUC
rnacentral:rRNA from 1 species